rnacentral:rRNA from 1 species
UACGAAGGGGGCUAGCGUUGUUCGGAAUUACUGGGCGUAAAGCGCGCGCAGGCGGUCUUCCAAGUCAGUGGUGAAAGCCCGGAGCUCAACUCCGGAACUGCCAUUGAAACUGUAAGACUUGAGGACGAGAGAGGUGAGUGGAACUCCCAGUGUAGAGGUGAAAUUCGUAGAUAUUGGGAAGAACACCAGUGGCGAAGGCGGCUCACUGGCUCGUAUCUGACGCUCAGGCGCGACAGCGUGGGGAUCAAACAGG